GAAGACUUGAAGGCGAGCAUCGGAGAGAGGCUAAACGUAGGUCUUUGGAAAAGCGCAGGGGCCUAGAUGGGACAUACUUUAAGUGAGGUUAGGUAGGUUGGAGCAGCAUAUAGUUUCACCUCCCAGGCACAACGCUCUGACAAUAUCUGUAUGAAGAAGCUCUGUAUAGGUGCAAUACAAUAGCACUCUCGUGGAUCUGACGAAAAGAGAAUAGAAGCCCCCAUAAAAACCUGCAUUUAUUUUUAUGCAAUUUAAAACUUUUUAAAUUGCAGAAUGCCGAUUCAUGGUAAGAUCGUCCAAAGGUUGAUGUACCCAUAACACAAUUGAUGAGGAAAAUAACCAUAAAGUAAUUUUUAAAGCAAAGCUUUACUUUAUAGUAGCAGCAGUUAAUGUGGGCAAUGAAUGCAUUGCUUUAAGCCCUAAAGGAUUCCUUAGCAGGAGAAUCUGUGGAUGAUCCAGUAUGUCUUUUGCAAAAUAUCAGACUGGCAAAUUAAUUCUUAACUGAAAUGAUGAAAGAUUAGAUUGGCAGCAAGAACCAUGGGCCAGGAGAGUAAUCUGUACAGGUUUGAGAGGAACUGUUUGGAUAGGCAUUUAAACGCAUUCACCAUUAAUGUACAGAUAUCAGCUCUGUCAUUUUCGACUACACGAUUUUCUUGUCAUGUUGUAGUUGUGCCCUCCACAAAAAUGUAUUUUUCCUUCUUGGGAUCUAUUUUUAGUUCCAAAUUCCUUAUGUGAAAGUAUUUGAACCACUAAAAUUCUUAUCACCUUUUUAAUUGCAAUCACUUCAGCAAAGAGAUUGGGAGAAUCCAAGCUCUGUCAGCAUUAGAAAAAUACACAAAUUAUCAAGACAAAGUUAAUAUGCAUUUAAAUAUUCUUCUAUUUACCAUAGGUACGUUUCCCAUGGAAACUGUUUAGUUACAUGUGCAUUGUUCGUUCUUAUUCUUCAGUAAAGCCAUCUGAAUAUAUAUAUUAUUUCAAACAAGCCUGAGGGUGCAGACAAUUGUAUCAAAGCUGGUUCCAAGCCUCUUCUAAAAAGCACUUGCAAUGUCUGCUCAGUGGCACGGUGAGUUGUCGUGGAAGAGGAAAAUAAAACAUUGCUUUUGGGUGAAGGGGCAGCUUACAUGUGCUGUUUAACUUCAAUCAGUGAUGUUACAUUUCUACACAAUAUGCUGUAAAUUUCAAGCAGUCAUAGCUUUGAACUGGAGGGAACUGUGGGUGAAACCUUCCAUUAAUUUAUUUGCUGAUUGCUCUAGUUUUAAUGAAUAUAGAUCUGCUAUACACUCAUGUGCAAAGCACAGCUCUGGGGGGGGAUUGACACUUCAAGAUGGCGGUAGCUCUGAAAAGUGUCAAGAAGUUUCAGGCAUAGGAAAUACAUAGGGACAACAUAGUACUUUGUCUCUGUAUAUUUUGACUGAGUUGGAAUUUCAGUUAAAUUCCAACACAGUCAAAAUGAGUAUUUUAAAAAGAUUCUAUCUUUAUGAAAUGCUCCUAUUCAGGUGGUAACAGGGCUGCUUUAAAUGUGACUGAACCAGUGAAAAGCCAACUAAACGUAUUGGCUGCUAGUCAGGAGCAUAAAUAAUUAAGGGGAUUGGAGCCACAGUCACUAGCGAUUAAACUGGUUUACAUACACUUUAUAAAUAAGUUUAAAGUUUGUGCAUACAUAAAAAACCUGACUCACUAUCCAUUUUAUUGUACUGUCUGCUCAGUAACACACUUUUUUGUUUUGUUUGCUGUUGGGUGGAUACUAGCCAUGCUUUAUUUAAU